GUCGAGCGAGGUUACUGUUUUGGAUCCCUUCGGGGUGAAGAAGCUUUAACCUAGCGGCGGACGGGUGAGUAACGCGUGGGUAACCUACCCCAAAGUCCGGGAUAACAGCGGGAAACCGCCGCUAAUACCGGAUGUCUUUACCUUGGGGCAUCUUGAGGUAAAGAAAGGUAACGCUUUGGGAUGGGCCCGCGUCCCAUUAGCUAGUUGGUGAGGUAACGGCUCACCAAGGCGACGAUGGGUAGCCGGCCUGAGAGGGUGGACGGCCACACUGGGACUGAGACACGGCCCAGACUCCUACGGGAGGCAGCAGUAGGGAAUAUUGCGCAAUGGACGGAAGUCUGACGCAGCGACGCCGCGUGAGCGAUGAAGGUCUUCGGAUCGUAAAGCUCUGUCCUUGGGGAAGAAGGCGAAAGCUUGACGGUACCCAAGAAGAAAGCCCCGGCUAACUACGUGCCAGCAGCCGCGGUAAUACGUAGGGGGCGAGCGUUGUCCGGAAUUACUGGGCGUAAAGGGUGCGUAGGCGGCCCUUUAAGUCGGAUGUGAAAGCCCGCGGCUUAACCGCGGAAUGGCAUUCGAAACUGGAGGGCUUG
rnacentral:rRNA from 1 species